CCUCCGAGCCGCCGACCCCCUGCUCCAGCCCCCGAGCCCCAGCCCCGGCGUGACCGGCCUACACGCGCCGCAGCCGGUGACAGGUUGCACCGAAACUCACACAACGGGCCCUUUCCGUCGGGCUCGAGAAAAUGGAGUGUGGCCGACCUGUUGCCUCACAUUGGCCAAAGGGGGACCAGAAAGGAGAAAUUCCGCAGCAGGAACUUGAUUCGGCUGGCCCUGACCACAAAGGAACCGGUGUGUGUGGGUGGUGACCUGCCCCUUCUCUGGCCUUGUCAGGAGAGGCAAAUGCCUGCCCAGGGGGCGCCCCUGGCUCUAGAGCUGCCUGAGGAGCAGCGAGUGAGGGCUGAUGGAGGAGGAGAAGAAGGGCCUUCCAGGCAGAGGCCCGAGGGGUGAGGCUCGGCCCAGGAUCACACAGGAGAAUCUCCUCUGGAUGGGCUUGGGUUGGUCCUGGGGGCCCUGGCUGCGCUGCUGACUGGCAUAACAGGAUGGCCCGUGGUGGCCCAGAGGGGAGCCCCGUCCCACAUCUGCUCUACACUGCUUGCUCCAGGCCCACGUGCUCAGGGUUCCUGGGACUGAAAACCACAGCAGUCUGUUCAAGCACAGGGACAGAGCGGCCCGCUCUCACAGCAUCUGCCCUCUUCAGCUGCCCGGCGGAGCCUGAGUCCUGGUGAAGAUCUCUGCCUGCCUCAUCCCAGGGAUGAGGCUGGACCAAGGCCACCACGUGGCCCCUGCAGUUUCCCACAGACAGGGCCCCGAUGGCUUCCUUCCUUGUGCCAAGUCUCCUGGGAGCCCCCGUCCUAGUGGUCCCUCCUCCACCCCAGCUCUGUCCACCCAGGACCACUUCUGGGAGCCUGCCAGCCUGCUGACUCCACCCAUCAAUCUCUGGGGCAGCCUCUGAGAGGAGAGCAACACGGGGCUGCAUGAGAGCAGAGGAGGAGGAGGGGCCUCCUUGGCGCUGACAUGCAGAUGUGCCCAUUUCAAGCCCAGGUCUCACCCUCUGGGUGACUCGAUCCCCAGCUCCAGCAUCUUUCUGGUCCAGGCAGGGAGGGAGGAGGAAGGCCUGGGAAUGGCACGAGGGAGGCUCUUCACUCACUGCGUGUGCCUGUGCGUGUGCAGGUGUGUGUGUGUGUGCAUGUGUGUGUGGUGAGGUGGGGUGGAGCUGUGGAGCAGGAUGAGUGCACUGAGUGCCCGGCCCUCGCUGGGCAGGGGGCUCAGCUGGAGCUGCCUGGGGCCUAGGAGGCCGCUUCCCCACAGACAGGGCACAGCCUCAGGGGC